UCGUAGUUGGAUUUCUGGCGUGGUGCGUCUGGUCGCGCGGGGGGCAACCCCUGUGAGUAGUACCGGGAAGCGCGCCUGCCAUCAGGCGGGUUUUUGUGUUGUUCGCAAGAAUAGCAUGGAAAGAAGCGGGCAGGCCAGGUUCCGUGGCUCUCCGGAGCGGCGGCGUGGUGGCUCGUGUUUCCGCCCAUUUACUUUGAGCAAAUUAGAGUGUUCCAAGCAGGCUGGUUUUUUUUGGCUGUGAAUACAUGAGCAUGGAAUAAUAAGAUAGGACUCGGGUUCUAUUUUGUUGGUUUCCAGGAUCUGAGUAAUGAUCGAUAGGGACAGUUGGGGGUGCUAGAAUUCAACGGCCAGAGGUGAAAUUCUUGGAUUCGUUGAAGACUAACUUAUGCGAAAGCAUUCACCAAGGAUGUCUUCUUUAAUCAAGAACGAAAGUUGGGGGAUCGAAGACGAUCAGAUACCGUCGUAGUCUCAACUAUAAACGAUGCCAACUAGGGAUAUGUGGACGUUUGUUCGAAGACUCCAUAUGCACCUGACGAGAAAUCCAAGUUUUUGGGUUCUGGGGGGAGUAUGGUCGCAAGGCUGAAACUUAAAGGAAUUGACGGAAGGGCACACCAGGAGUGGAGCCUGCGGCUCAAUUUGACCCAACACGGGGAAACUUACCAGGUCCAGACAAUAAGAGGAUUGACAGAUUGAAGAUCUUUCUUGAUUUAUUGAGUGGUGGUGCAUGGCCGUUCUUAGCUGGUGGAGUGAUUUGUCUGGUUUAUUCCGUUAACGAACGAGACCUCGACCUGUUAACUAGUCCGGCGCAGCCUGCAAGGGUUGCGUUCUUUGGUCAAACGAAGAAAGUGGGCUUCUUAAAGGGACUCUCGGUGCGUAGCCGAUGGAAGUUCGAGGCAAUAACAGGUCUGUGAUGCCCUUAGAUGUUCUGGGCCGCACGCGCGCUACACUGUUGUGUUCACUGAGCUUUUUAUUGAAACAAGCCUUGGCCGACAGGCCCGGGGAAUCUGUGAAACCACAACGUGAUGGGGAUAGAUUAUUGCAAUUAUUAAUCUUCAACGAGGAAUUCCUAGUAAACGCGGGUCAUCAGCUCGCAUUGACUACGUCCCCGCCCUUUGUACACACCGCCCGUCGCUACUACCGAUUGAAUGACUUAGUGAGUUGCGCGGAUUGUGUUUGGCUCGCGAGGGUCGAAUGUAAAGAAGCGCCGCAAACUUGGCCAUUUAGAGGAAGUAAAAGUCGUA
rnacentral:rRNA from 1 species